rnacentral:rRNA from 1 species
GACGAACGCUGGCGGCGUGCUUAACACAUGCAAGUCGAACGGAAAGGCCCUGCUUUUGUGGGGUGCUCGAGUGGGGAAGGGGUGAGUAAAACGUGAGUAACUUGCACUUGACUUUGGGAUAACUUCAGGAAACUGGGGCUAAUACCGGAUAGGAGCUACUGAAGCAUGGGGGGGGAUGGAGAGAUACGGCGGUUUGGGAUGGAAUCGAGGGUUAUCAGCUGGAUGGGGGGGUAGUGGCUGACCAGGUCUUUGACGGGUAGCCGGCCUUGGCGGGUGACCGGCCUCAUUGCGACUGCGAGACGGCCCAGUCGCCUACGUGCGGCAGCAGUCGGGAAUCUUGCACAAUGGGCCGAAGCCUGAUGCAGCAACGCCGCGUUCGUGAUGACGGCCUUCGGGUUGUAAACCGCUUUCUCCUGUGACGAAGCGUGAGUGACGGUAAUGGGUAAAGAAGCACCGGCUAACUACGUG